rnacentral:rRNA from 1 species
AAAAUUGCCGAAGCUCGAACGGGAAGAUCUCAGGGCGCCUGCUGAUGGCGGUCACGCGCUGACGGGCGCCAGGUGUGCAGCGGUCCCCUUCGGGGCUGAUUGCGGCCGCCUGGCGUCGCCGGUCGGCGCCGAUGUGCUAGCGCAGGCGCUCGUAUGGCUUCCCCAGUAGGACGUUGCGACCUGUCGGGAUUGUAUAAGAGGCUUUCGUGCGGCCCCGGGGUUGUGCUUCCCCUGUCCGUUUACAUCGCGUCCUCUUCGGAGUCGAUGCGGUGGGCAGGUUGGAGCGGGUCGCGUUCUUCGGGGCGCGAUCUGUUUCAGCCUUCGGUGAGCCGUUGUCUGCCCCGACAGUUGUAUCUACGCGCACCGGUCCGGUCACGCCUUGGUCGCU